rnacentral:lncRNA from 1 species
GUACACACCCUGUAUGGUAGGGGUUAGGGUUAACACUAGGUACACAUCCUGUAUGGUAGGGGUUAUAGUUAACACUAGGUACACACCCUGUAUGGUAGGGGUUAGAGUUAACACUAGGUACACACCCUGUAUGGUAGGGGUUAGGGUUAACACUAGGUACACACCCUGUAUGGUAGGGGUUAGAGUUAACACUAGGUACACACCCUGUAUGGUAGGGGUUAGAGUUAACACUAGGUACACACCCUGUAUGGUAGGGGUUAGAGUUAACACUAGGUACACACCCUGUAUGGUAGGGGUUAGGGUUAACACUAGGUACACACCCUGUAUGGUAGGGGUUAGAGUUAACACUAGGUACACAUCCUGUAUGGUAGGGGUUAGGGUUAGAGUUAACACUAGGUACACACCCUGUAUGGUAGGGGUUAGGGUUAGAGUUAACACUAGGUACACACCCUGUAUGGUAGGGGUUAGGGUUAACACUAGGUACACACCCUGUAUGGUAGGGGUUAGAGUUAACACUAGGUACACACCCUGUAUGGUAGGGGUUAGGGUUAACACUAGGUACACAUCCUGUAUGGUAGGGGUUAGAGUUAACACUAGGUACACACCCUGUAUGGUAGGGGUUAUAGUUAACACUAGGUACACAUCCUGUAUGGUAGGGGUUAGAGUUAACACUAGGUACACAUCCUGUAUGGUAGGGGUUAUAGUUAACACUAGGUACACACCCUGUAUGGUAGGGGUUAGAGUUAACACUAGGUACACAUCCUGUAUGGUAGGGGUUAGAGUUAACACUAGGUACACAUCCUGUAUGGUAGGGGUUAGGGUUAGAGUUAACACUAGGUACACACCCUGUAUGGUAGGGGUUAGAGUUAACACUAGGUACACACCCUGUAUGGUAGGGGUUAGGGUUAACACUAGGUACACAUCCUGUAUGGUAGGGGUUAGGGUUAUAGUUAACA